GCAUAUCAAUAAGCGGAGGAAAAGAAACCAACAGGGAUUGCCCUAGUAACGGCGAGUGAAGCGGCAACAGCUCAAAUUUGAAAUCUGGCUCCUUUGGGGUCCGAGUUGUAAUUUGCAGAGGGUGCUUUGGCGUUGGCGGCGGUCUAAGUUCCUUGGAACAGGACAUCACAGAGGGUGAGAAUCCCGUACGUGGUCGCCUGCCUUCGCCGUGUAAAGCCCCUUCGACGAGUCGAGUUGUUUGGGAAUGCAGCUCUAAAUGGGAGGUAAAUUUCUUCUAAAGCUAAAUACCGGCCAGAGACCGAUAGCGCACAAGUAGAGUGAUCGAAAGAUGAAAAGCACUUUGGAAAGAGAGUCAAACAGCACGUGAAAUUGUUAAAAGGGAAGCGCUUGCAGCCAGACUUGCCUGUAGUUGCUCACCUGGGCUUUUGCCCGGGGCACUCUUCUGCAGGCAGGCCAGCAUCAGUUUGGGCGGUCGGAUAAAGGCCUCUGACACGUACUUCCUCUCGGGGAUGACAUAUAGGGGAGGCGUAAUGCGACCAGCCUGGACUGAGGUCCGCGCAUCUGCUAGGAUGCUGGCGUAAUGGCUGUAAGCGGCCCGUCUUGAAACACGG
rnacentral:rRNA from 1 species